GACGAACGCUGGCGGCGUGCUUAACACAUGCAAGUCGAACGGAAAGGCCUGCUUUCCCUUGUGGAUUGCGGGUACUCGCGUGGCGAACGGGUGAGUAACACGUGAGUGAUCUGCCCCCAACUUGGGUAUAAGCCUGGGAAACUGGGUCUAAUUCCCGAUAGGACUGCAGGGUGGUGCCUGUGGUGGAAAACGAUUUUCUAGUGGUUGGGGAUGAGCUCGCGGCCUAUCAGCUUGUUGGUGGGGUAAUGGCCUACCAAGGCGGCGACGGGUAGCCGGCCUGGGAUGGUGGACGGGCACAGUGGGACUGAGAUACGGCCCAGACUCCUACGGGAGGCAGCAGUGGGGAAUAAUGCACGAUGGGCGGAAGCCUGAUGCAGCGACGCCGCGUGGGGGAUGACGGCCUUCGGGUUGUAAACUCCUUUCGACCGCGAGGAAGCCACCUGGUUGGAAGGGUGGUGACGGUAGUGGUAGAAGAAGCACCGGCUAACUACGUG
rnacentral:rRNA from 1 species